rnacentral:piRNA from 1 species
UAAAAUUUUUGAUUCUUCACAGCCUGGCCC